UACAGAGGGGGCAAGCGUUAUCCGGAAUUAUUGGGCGUAAAGAGCUCGUAGGCGGUUUGUCGCGUCUGCCGUGAAAGUCCGGGGCUCAACUCCGGAUCUGCGGUGGGUACGGGCAGACUAGAGUGAUGUAGGGGGAGACUGGAAUUCCUGGUGUAGCGGUGAAAUGCGCAGAUAUCAGGAGGAACACCGAUGGCGAAGGCAGGUCUCUGGGCAUUAACUGACGCUGAGGAGCGAAAGCAUGGGGAGCGAACAGG
rnacentral:rRNA from 1 species